UGUUUAGAAUGAUCUCGAACACCAGUGUAGCGAAGCGGUCUUCUAUUCGGGACUUUCCCAGAAUAGCAGUGAUUCACCUCAGUACUCGGUACUCGAAAACGAAUCGGAUACUAGUACAUAUAGAUCCAUUGUUUUGUAAAGACGCCCACCUUUAUAAAAGGCCUUGAAAGUCAAUGAUGAAAGAGAUGAGGGUAAUGAGAAAGUACCUGAAGAAAAUGAAGAAAACAACUAAGAUACGGACCGAGGACCGCCAUUAGAUAUUAAAGCAAUAACUAGCAGCUGUAGAAAUAACAUAUAAGAUACCAGCAAGUAGAGAUGUUGCUCAGAAAGAUCCUUAAUCCUGGCGAUGCAUGUACAAAAAUAUUAACAAUACUGAUGUGAUAUGUCAACCUAACAUCCUCCUCGGGAAAAAGUGAAAUAAUGUAUAAAGUAGAUCUAACGAUUGUCGUACAUCUUGAUAGAUUUUUCCUACAGGAUUUGCAUUUUUCAUUUUUUGUAAUAGUGCAAAGUAGUAGUAUUUUGAUACAUUAUAAUUUUAGAGUUUUUAGUUCUCAGCUAUUUUAAUAGCUUUUGAUAUUUUAAUAGUUUUACAGUUAUUUUCAUAAUUCUGUGACCUCGGUGCUCUGAGUUACACGCUGAAAUUUGGAUUUUCGCUGCCGUCAGUCAAAAAUAUGUAAGUUACCGACAAUUAGGUUUGAUUGAAAGACAGCGAAAAAACAAAUUUCAGCUUGCAACUCAGGGCACCGAGGUCGCAGAAUUAUGAAAAGCGCUGCAAAACGUUCAGUACUAUCGUAGUCUGUAAUCCAGUUCUUGAAGCUGCUCGUUGAUCGAAUUUGUAACUUAAUUAAGGAUGCUCAAAAAUGUAUAUUUCUUUUUGUCACGCAA